GGGGCCGAAUGGAGUUGACAGUAUGUGUAAUGGAGGUGUAAGCAUGUCGGGAUUUUGUGCGUAAUUCCCGUAACUAAGACGCUCAACUUUAUAAUUGGCGAAAAUAACUACGCCCUAGCUGCCUAAUUUAGAAUUAGUAGCUAUGUGUCUUUGUCGGAUCUUUGAUCCGUCCAUCCGACUACCAAAGGCAUCAACUCACGGAUCUAGCGACUAUGAAUUCGUGGCAUAGAAGCGAAAUUAAACGAAUAAGAGAAAGUCGAAUCCUUGGCUAGGGGAUGGCGUUCUUCGAAAAUCAAACUUAGCCUAAGCAUGUAGAAAGCAUACUUUAUUCCUUAUCUGGACGUGGGUUCGAAACCCACCGGCUCCACAU
rnacentral:tmRNA from 1 species